GUAAUAUCCCAUUUUCCACCUUAAAGAAGCUACGCUUAAGAUAAUCAUGAUCCCACCCAUUUCAUCUACCAGCAACUAGCAAGCCACCCUUCUUCUCAAAAAAAAAAAAAACACAAAAAACUAGCAAGCCACUCUACUUUGCUCUCUCUCUCUCUCUUUACGGGUUUCUAAAGAGAGUAAAUUUUGUCAAUUCUUCUUGGGUUCUAGAGUCCUUGCCCCAUUUCUUUCUGUCAUUCAUUGGCCUCCUCGGCACCUUUCGGGUAGGGGAGGGCACUCCUUCCUAGCCCAAAACGUGGGUUCUCACUCCUCACCUUUGAGCUGAGAUGUACAUAGACAGUCUUGCUUAGCUUUGUUGGCAGAUCUAGACGUCAUGGUGAGGGUUUUCUAUUGAAGAUCUACGUGCCUUCGUUUCUUUAGAGGAAUUGACAUGGCAAUUGUGGUUUUGAGAAGAGGGCUUUUCUAUGUUCUAUGGACAGCGAGUAGGUGUUGCGGUGGAGGAUAUCCCUCAACUGUUAAGGGUUAGCCGGUAUAUCGUGGCGACUCCCUAUGGCUAUAAGAGAUUGAGACACUGAUUUGGGCUCUACCUUCCUCUGCCAUGCUUUCCCACCUUGAUUCGCAGAUUUCUAGCAACUCUACCUCUAGUAGUUCCAAUGGGUGGCUGGGCUGAGGAACGUACCCUCAACCUAGAUAUGUCGUGUUCUUUCUUGGUUGGGCUUUGGGCUUUGUAUCAGGGCUGGAUAGAGUAGGCUUCUUUUGUUUUUUUAUUUGGGCUGGCCAUGUGCUGAACCUUCUCUUGCUAAUGGAUUUUACCUUGGGGGAAAACAAAAGGCCACUUUACUCGCGCCUGACAAUUGGGUUAGACCACCUAUCAAACUGAUUACUGCUUCCCAUAUUUCAGAUUUCACCUCUUUUAGACUGUUCUAGAUGCUACCGACAUUUAUCAAUUGCAGCCACAUUCAAUAACUGUAUCUCCGCUUUGAAUUGGACACCGUACCUUAUCACAUUUAAGCAAAUGAUGCUUGAAGACAUCAUCCAUUCCUUGAAAAUCUGUUUGCAGUUUCUUUAAUCUUUUAGCUCUCAACGCGCAAAGCUAGAAUUUAGAAACUAUAUCAUUUUUGACAAGAGCGACGAAUUUGUCAGGGCAUAAAUUUUUUUUUUUUUUUGCGUCAAGGCAUAAAUUAUAAUAUAUAAAAUUGAGGGAUUUUCAUUAAAGAUUUUAUGGAAUUAAUAUAGACAAACUAUUGAUUGUCCUUGGUGCUCAUUUUCUUAGUACUCGCUUUUGGUUUAUGUCUAUUAAGAGGUCAUACUCUUCGUUCUGUUUCUUGACAAUUAUGUGACAAU
rnacentral:misc_RNA from 1 species